GUUUUAGGCAGGAUUUGAUGCAUAAGGUGUGUGUAGAUAUUAAUGUUAGGGGAGAAUGUGAGUGAUGUGUACAUUUAGUAGGAAAACCUAUUAUCUGAUCCACACUCCGGGACAGAAGAGGGCGGUAUUGCACCAAUAAGCUGGAUGCCAACCGCCGUUAAACUGGAAAGAAGUUACAAUGAGUUACAAUGGAACAGAUUAUGUUUGUCUGCUGUAGAGUGACUGAAGAAGGAAUGCUGCCAUCAAAGGAUUUGUCACUUUUCUUAUUGUUGAUUUCUGUGCAUUUGCUGCAGAUCUUUUGUGGUGGAGCAGGACCUGCAAGGAAAGGGGAAAAAAAAGGAAAAAAACCUGAAACAAAAAGAAUAAAGUAAUGACUUUUUGUAUUGUGUGUGUGUAUUUCUGUAG
ensembl:lncRNA